GAAAAAAUAGGAGGAGCAGGAGAAGCAGAAAGAGCAAGAGGACAAGGAGGACCAGGAGGACCAGGAACACCAGGAGGAGGAGGAGAAGAAAUAAUGAGUGAUAAUGUCUACAUUUACAGAAAGAGUUUGGUGGGGUAGAAAUAUUGCUUCUUUGGAGAAAUGCGUACUCAAAGAUUUACUCGUGGAGAAUCUCACUGUGCUGUCAUCUGAGACUUCAAGUUCAUUUCUGAAACCAUGCUUUUUCCCAGCAUCAUGAGAAGAUUCACAGAUACAGAUCACCACACUUAGCUGGUGGUAUUGUAAAAUCUCUUCAUUACUGACUUUCAUUUUUGCUUGCUUGUGUAUAAAUUUGAUUCAAAAUUUUAUAUUUUCUCAUUUACCACAGGUUUGCUUAAUUCACCUUUAGAUGUAACCAUAUUUUAUUACAUGCCAUGUUUUUUAAAUUACAAAGAUAUUUGAGUACUGAAAUAUAUUUUGUAAUUUUUUAUUGGUUAUUUUAUUUGUUUACAUUUCAAGUGUUAUCCAUCUUCCUGAUUUCAUCCCUAUUCCAUACCCAUUCUCCCUGCUUCUAUGAAAGUGCCCCCAAAUCCACCUACCCUAGCAUUUCCUUAUGAUGGGGCAUUAAGCCUCCACAGGACCAAGAGCCUCUCUUGCCAUUGAUGCCAGAUAAGGCAGUCCUCUGCUACAUAAGCAGCUGGAGCUAUGGGUCCUUUUAUGUGUACACUUUGGUUGGUAUUGUAGUCCUUGGGAACUGUGGAGGAGACUGGUGGAUUGAUAUCGGUGUAUAUUAUAUUUUUCAUUAUUUAAAACAACACUUUAAUUGAAUGAUAUACCACUCAAUCCAGUUCUUCAGAUCCUCUCCCACUUUCCUCCCAUCUUUAAGCCACUUUGUAAGAAAAAAUAAACGUACAAAAAAAUAGAAAACAAAUCCCUCAAAAUCAGGAAAAUAAAACCACAUUGAAAACAAACAAUCAAAAAGAAAACCAACCAAAAAACAGCAACAAAAAAAUCAAAAAAACAAAAAAAAAAAUAGAAAAAAAUAAAAGAAAAAGAAAAAAAAACACCAAAGUGUGUCCAUGUAAAUGCACACUCAAAAACUCAGAAAACUGUACAGUCAAAUUAUUUGUGGUUCAACUACUGCUGAACCUGAGGCCUGUCCUAGUUGAUGUGCUUUCAAGAAAACUAGAUUUUAUCUCUCUGUGUGGUUAUAUUUGAGAGUUUGGUUGUAAACCUUUUACUCUAGUGGCUACAUUUUCACUUAUAUAUUGAUUCAUCCAUUCAUUAACUACUUUUUAAAAUAUAAGAAUAUUAAAUAUAAGAAUAAAAUAAAACUAUCUACAGUAUUAAUGUACUAAUCAAUACUGGCACAGAGUUACUAGCUGCCUCAAUGUAACUGUAUUUUAAUGUUAAUUGGAUCCCCAAAACCUGUUUGCAGGAGAGGAUCUUCAUGUAGCUUCUUUGAACAUGCCUCCAGUUAAUUCUGAUUGAUAAGUAAAGAUGCCAGCAUCCAAUACUGGGGAGGAAAGACAGAGUUAGAAUUUAAGGUUUCCAGGCUUGGGAACAUGAGGAAGAGGAAGGGCAGAGAUGCCAUGCCUAAGGUGUGUGCAGGUUAGAAAAGCAGAGCCACUACCUAAUUGGGCCAGGAGAACAUGACCCAGAGGGCUGCUCAAUUAAUUCAAGUGCAGCCAAAACAGAAAAAGGAAAUUAGUAAGUAGUAACUCAGUGUUAUCUGUGGGAGGUAGAUCUAACAGCAUAGAGGUUAGCCAGUUGCUCAGAUAUUGUGCUGCUUACAUCAUACUUAAUAUAAAGGCAGUGUAUGUCUUUCAUUCGUGAACAUAAACAGUUGAUGUGGGUAGUCACCCAUUAGAGCUUUAUAUAAAAAUUAGGACUACAACUAUGAUAAUGUCAUUGUGCAAAAAAAAAAAAAAAUCAACAAAAAGACAUGAGCCUAAGACAAGGCAUGAGAAUCAGAAACCCACUUAGUUGAACACUCAGAUAUGACUUCCUUAAUUGGAAGUCAUAGUGCACGUGAGAAGGAACUAAUACAAGCUAAAGACCCUGUAAUAUAGCAGUGAAAGUUCUAUGUGGGCACUGACUUGACAUUUUAAUUUCAAUGAAAGUUCUAAGUAUUGUCAUCAACAAUAGGGCCUUGCUCUCAGUUUGGGGAGGGAACUCUAUAGACUUAGCAAGAACUUGAGUUUGGAGACUUCUCUUCGUUUAUGACAGCUCUUUUGGCCCAUAACUCACUUAAAUGUAAAAGAAUUCCAGUACGGGAAGCUUUGUUUGAUGACAAAUGAUGGCCAGUUGAGACCCAUUAUUUGAUGAGUUUAUUUAGAUCACACACACACACACACACACACACACACACACACACACACGUAUAUAUAUGUAUAUAUAAUUUGUAAUGUUCUCAUUGUAUUGUUUCUCUACUACCCUUCCAGUACUCCUCUAGUGCCCCCUUAUUGUUAACUAUUCUUCCUGUAUUCCCUUCCACAAUCCACUCACAAAUCACCCUAACUUUUCCACCCUGUUUUCUCUUCCACUGUCUCCUCUGUUCUCCCAUUCCCCACUUGAUUCCAGUUUCAUUCCCAACGUUAGUUUUGUCUAGUCUCUUACUUAUGUCAGAAUAUGUUUAACAAAACUUGUAUGUGAUCUGAUAUUUAAGAAAAAUGCCUAGUAUUUACUUUACCUAAUGACACAGCAUUUGCAACAAUGUCCAAUGAAAGUGGGAACAGUGUGUAUCAGAUUAUUUUAAAAAUGGCAUAUAUAUGGAGGUAUUUAGGAAGUGGUAACAAUGUAUAUCAGAUGAUUUUUAAAAUGGCAGACAUACUGAGGUAUUUAGGAUCUGUAUAUAUUAGUUUCCACUUAUGUUUAUGAAAUUUCAUUUUUGUAACUAAUAUUUGAAUUAUUUUUUCAAAUUAUGAAAGUGGCUAUGGAUUUUAAAGAUUUUUAUUUUCUUCUACUGAACAUUGAAAUGAUCAUGUAGUGCUUGUCAUUACUUGUAUUAAUGUAGUACUUUGCAUGGGCUCUUUAUGUAUGUUAAGCUACUCCUACAUAUUUAGGUCACAUGUACAAUAUCAUAGUACAAAAACUUUUCUAUCUGUGGAAUGUAUUUGAUUGUAUUUGUUAGUAUGUAAAUUCAUUUUGUAUUUUUAUUUGGCGUUUCUCAUAUAAUGUAUUUUGAUUAUCCUAUUUCCACGUUUCCAACUACUUCCAGAUAUUGCUGUCUCCCUACCAAUAAAAUUUCAUCCACCCUGUGUACAAGAUAA